AAAUAUGUGUAAACCUUUUUAUUUGACCCAACUGUAGUUGUGGGGGAUCAGAUCGUAAUCCGUCUUACCGAGUUCAGUGCCAGAUACCUCUGAACCAACUAACAGUAGGUAAGUUUUUCUUUUUCUUUUUUUUUUCUUUUUGUAGCAAAUUUUUACAAUUCUUUGGUUUAAAUAACUUUGUGAGGGUCACCUAUACCGGAGUUGCCUUUUUGCUUUCUUUUAUUUUUUUGUUUUGCUGGAUCAUUCACUUAUUUGCAUCGGUCCCCUACGUAGAGGAUGCGUAGGCCGGAGCUGACUGCUGAGUAGGGUCACCUAUACCGGAGUUGCCUUUUUG
rnacentral:lncRNA from 1 species